rnacentral:tRNA from 1 species
GCAGUGGUAAUUCAGUGGUAGAAAUGUUGCCUUCCAUGUAGGACACCUGGAUUCAACUCUCAGCCAAUGCA